rnacentral:rRNA from 1 species
UACGGGGGGGGCAAGCGUUGUUCGGAAUUACUGGGCGUAAAGGGUUCGUAGGUGGCUUGCUAAGUCAGACGUGAAAUCCCUCAGCUUAACUGGGGAACUGCGUCUGAUACUGGAUGGCUUGAGUUUGGGAGAGGGAUGCGGAAUUCCAGGUGUAGCGGUGAAAUGCGUAGAUAUCAAGUGGAACACCAGUGGCGAAGGCGAGUCUCUGGACAUUUCCUAACGCUGAGGCACGAAAGCCAGGGGAGCAAACGGG